CCCUUGGUAGCUCAGCCGGUAGAGCACGAGACUCUUAAUCUCAGAGUCGUGGGUUCAAGCCCCAUGUUGGGCA